rnacentral:rRNA from 1 species
UACGUAGGGUGCAAGCGUUAUCCGGAAUUAUUGGGCGUAAAGAGCUCGUAGGCGGUUUGUCGCGGUCUGCUGUGAAAACUGGGGCGCUCAACCCCUCAGCCUGCAGUGGGUACGGGCAGACUAGAGUGCGGUAGGGGAGACUGGAAUUCCUGGUGUAGCGGUGGAAUGCGCAGAUAUCGAGGAGGAACACCGGUGGCGAAGGCGGGUCUCUGGGCAGUAACUGACGCUGAGGAGCGAAAGCGUGGGGAGCGAACAGG